rnacentral:rRNA from 1 species
CUGCGAAUGGCUCAUUAAAUCAGUUAUCGUUUAUUUGAUAGUACCUUACUACUUGGAUAACCGUGGUAAUUCUAGAGCUAAUACAUGCUAAAAACCCCAACUUCGGAAGGGGUGUAUUUAUUAGAUAAAAAACCAAUGCCCUUCGGGGCUCUUUGGUGAUUCAUAAUAACUUAACGGAUCGCAUGGCCUUGCGCCGGCGACGGUUCAUUCAAAUUUCUGCCCUAUCAACUUUCGAUGGUAAGGUAUUGGCUUACCAUGGUUUCAACGGGUAACGGGGAAUUAGGGUUCGAUUCCGGAGAGGGAGCCUGAGAAACGGCUACCACAUCCAAGGAAGGCAGCAGGCGCGCAAAUUACCCAAUCCCGACACGGGGAGGUAGUGACAAUAAAUACUGAUACAGGGCUCUUUUGGGUCUUGUAAUUGGAAUGAGUACAAUUUAAACCCCUUAACGAGGAACAAUUGGAGGGCAAGUCUGGUGCCAGCAGCCGCGGUAAUUCCAGCUCCAAUAGCGUAUAUUAAAGUUGUUGCAGUUAAAAAGCUCGUAGUUGAAACUUGGGCCUGGCUGACCGGUCCGCCUCACCGCGUGUACUGGUCCGGCCGGGCCUUUCCUUCUGGAGAGCCUCAUGCCCUUCACUGGGUGUGUUGGGGAACCAGGACUUUUACUUUGAAAAAAUUAGAGUGUUCAAAGCAGGCCUUUGCUCGAAUACGUUAGCAUGGAAUAAUAGAAUAGGACGUGCGAUCCUAUUUUGUUGGUUUCUAGGACCGCCGUAAUGAUUAAUAGGGAUAGUCGGGGGCAUCAGUAUUCAAUUGUCAGAGGUGAAAUUCUUGGAUUUAUUGAAGACUAACUACUGCGAAAGCAUUUGCCAAGGAUGUUUUCAUUAAUCAGUGAACGAAAGUUAGGGGAUCGAAGACGAUCAGAUACCGUCGUAGUCUUAACCGUAAACUAUGCCGACUAGGGAUCGGGCGAUGUUAUUAUUUUGACUCGCUCGGCACCUUACGAGAAAUCAAAG